CACUGUCUUUAAGAAGCAAGCUGCUGUAUUAUGACAGGGUCAUUGCUAGGAUAUUAGGGUACCUUCUAGGAGCUGAGAGUGACCCAUGCAACAGCCAGCAAGAAAGUGGGGAGUCAGCCUUACCCAAGGAACUGAGUUCUAUCAACACCCUAAAUGGGUUUGGAAAUAGAUUCUUCCACAAUCGAGCCUUCUGAUGAGUUCAUAGCCCCCACUGACACCUUAAUUUCAGCCUGUUGAGAUCCUGAUCAGAGAGCCCAGUUAUGUUGUGCCCAGACUUCUGACCUACAGCAACUGUAAGGGAGGGUGGGGUUGUGUUAACCCACUAAGUUUGUGAUCAUUGGUUGGGCAGCAAUAGAAAGCUAGAUGGGCAGCACAACUUUAGACUCUAGAUCUGACGAUAUUUGUUCUGGGGAGCCCAUGAGAAAGGUUGCUACUGGACUAUGAGUACAGAUCAUCAGAGUUCAAAGGGCAUUAUGGAGAUCCCAUGUUGAAUCCCAUUUCAAGUUUCUUCUCUUGUCAGAUCCAAUAACGUCCCAUUGGCCAAGCAAAUCUCAUGGUCAAGCCCAAGAUCAAGGGACUGGGAAGUCCGUUCCACUCACCCUGAAGCCUGAAAAGUCUAGAUAUCUAUUACCGGGGAGUUAAGAAUUAGGAUCCAUUACUUGGGAAAUUUAGUACACAUGCACAAAAUCCCUCUGGCUGGUUUUACCUCCUCCACGUCCAUCAGUACACAGCUGAGCAUAAGCAGUUACCUCCAUCAUACAUUUGAAGCUCAUGAAGCCCCCCUUGCCAGCGCUGCAAAUUGGUCCAUGGAGAGCAGCACUGCAAAUUGGUCCAUGAAGAGCAGACCUCCAAGAAAGGAAAGUGGGAACUGGGAGAAGUCAGGGGAUGCUUAUUAACAUGAGAGAGAGAUGCCUGGAGUUUCCUAGCAGCCAAUGGAAAAUAGGAAAACCAAUGAGUUACACAAGUACUGAUGUCAAUGAGAAAAUAAGAAACUUGCUAAAGGAUAGUUCUCCCUGGUAUCUUCCUAAACAGGACAGUGUGAUGUCAAAAAUAAGAACUCAGGAAU
rnacentral:lncRNA from 1 species